GCGGAUGGCCGGAUGACCGCGGCGAGCAAUCGUCGAGGAAAGUCCGGACUCCAUGAAGGUACGGUGCCGGGUAACGCCCGGCGGGGGCAACCCCAGGGAAAGCGCCACAGAGAACAGACCGCCCAUGCUUGCAUGGGUAAGGGUGAAACGGUGGGGUAAGAGCCCACCGCGGGACUGGCAACAGGACCGGCAAGGCAAGCCCCACCGGGAGCAACGCCGAAUAGGGACCGCGUGUCGCAAGACAGGGCUACCUUUGCCCCAGCAGGUCCGGGUUGGCAGCUAGAGCCCGUCAGCAAUGGCGGGCCCAGAGGAAUGGUCAUCCAGAGGGGCAACCCUUGGACAAAAUCCGGCUUACAGGCCGUCCGCGCAU
rnacentral:RNase_P_RNA from 1 species